UACGUAGGGAGCAAGCGUUGUCCGGAAUCAUUGGGCGUAAAGCGCGCGUAGGCGGCCUCAUAAGUCCGUUGUGAAAGUCAAAGGCUCAACCUUUGAAAGCCGAUGGAUACUGUGAGGCUAGAGUCCGGAAGAGGCGAGUGGAAUUCCUGGUGUAGCGGUGGAAUGCGCAGAUAUCAGGAGGAACACCAAUAGCGAAGGCAGCUCGCUGGGACGGUACUGACGCUAAGGCGCGAAAGCGUGGGGAGCAAACGGG
rnacentral:rRNA from 1 species